CCGCCGGUAGCGUAGUGGUUAUCGCACCAGAUCAAUAUUCUGGAGGUCGUGGGUUCGGAUCCCACCCGGCGGG
rnacentral:tRNA from 1 species